GUUCGAAUAGUGUAGUGGUUAUCACGCGUUGCUCACACCGACGAGGUCCCCGGUUCGAUCCCGGGUUCGAACA
rnacentral:tRNA from 1 species